rnacentral:rRNA from 2 species
GGUAUUGACGGUAUUUAACCAGAAAGCCACGGCUAACUACGUGCCAGCAGCCGCGGUAAUACGUAGGUGGCAGCGUUGUCCGGGAUUUAUUGGGCGUAAAGCGAGCGCGGGCGGUUUUUUAAGUCUGAUGUGAAAGCUUCGGCUCAACCGAAGAAGUGCAUCGGAAACUGGGAAACUUGAGUGCAGAAGAGGACAGUGGAACUCCAUGUGUAGCGGUGAAAUGCGUAGAUAUAUGGAAGAACACCAGUGGCGAAGGCGGCUGUCUGGUCUGUAACUGACGCUGAGGCUCGAAAGUAUGGGUAGCAAACAGGAUUAGAUACCCUGGUAGUCCAUACCGUAAACGAUGAAUGCUAAGUGUUGGAGGGUUUCCGCCCUUCAGUGCUGCAGCUAACGCAUUAAGCAUUCCGCCUGGGGAGUACGGCCGCAAGGCUGAAACUCAAAGGAAUUGACGGGGGCCCGCACAAGCGGUGGAGCAUGUGGUUUAAUUCGAAGCUACGCGAAGAACCUUACCAGGUCUUGACAUACUAUGCAAAUCUAAGAGAUUAG